GACGAACGCUGGCGGCGUGCUUAACACAUGCAAGUCGAACGGAAAGGCCCUGCUUUUGUGGGGUGCUCGAGUGGCGAACGGGUGAGUAACACGUUAGUAACCUGCCCUUGACUUUGGGAUAACUUCAGGAAACUGGGGCUAAUACGGGAUAGGAGCUCCUGCUGCGUGGUGGUGGUUGGAAAGUUUCGGCGGUUGGGGAUGGACUCGCGGCUUAUCAGCUUGUUGGUGGGGUAGGGGCUUACCAAGGCUUUGACGGGUAGCCGGCCUGAGAGGGUGACCGGCCACAUUGGGACUGAGAUAAGGCCCAGACUCCUACGGGAGGCAGCAGUGGGGAAUAUUGCACAAUGGGCGGAAGCCUGAUGCAGCAACGCCGCGUGCGGGAUGACGGCCUUCGGGUGGUAAACCGCUUUCGCCUGUGACGAAGCGUGAGUGACGGUAAUGGGUAAAGAAGCACCGGCUAACUACGUG
rnacentral:rRNA from 1 species